CAUCUCUCAUCGCACUGAACACCAAUUCCCCUGAAAACACAAUCUCGGACUCGCUGAUUUGGGCAGGUGGGAGGAAUAAACGAUAAUUUGGAUUCCUGGUCAUUGAAAAUGCUGAAUUUCAAAAGAAAAUACUCUAUCAUUGGCACACCUUCCCUGAAAUCCUACGGCUGAGCUGCUGAGAUAAAAGAAGAAAGGUGUCAGGCACCUGUUUCUUAAAAAAUACCUGGAAUUUAACCACCAUCCCGGAAAGGAAAAGUUUGAUCAAGAUUAGUUUGGGGGAUGGGAAACAUUCAAAGCAGAGACUGGCCUCUUAAUUACACUCUGAAAAUAAACAAAAAACGAGCAAGUUAUUUCAUUUAC